rnacentral:rRNA from 1 species
GUCAUAUGCUUGUCUCAAAGAUUAAGCCAUGCAUGUCUCAGUACAAGCCAAAUUAAGGUGAAACCGCGAAAGGCUCAUUAAAUCAGUUAUGGUUCCUUAGAUCGUACCCACAAUUACUUGGAUAACUGUGGUAAUUCUAGAGCUAAUACAUGCAAACAGAGCUCCGACCGGAGACGGAAGGAGUGCUUUUAUUAGAUCAAAACCAAUCGGUGGCGGGUUCGCUCGUCAUCGUACAACUUGGUGAUUCUGAAUAACUUUACGCUGAUCGCACGGUCAUCGCACCGGCGACGCAUCUUUCAAAUGUCUGCCUUAUCAACUGUCGAUGGUAGGUUCUGCGCCUACCAUGGUUGUAACGGGUAACGGGGAAUCAGGGUUCGAUUCCGGAGAGGGAGCCUGAGAAACGGCUACCACAUCCAAGGAAGGCAGCAGGCGCGCAAAUUACCCACUCCCGGCACGGGGAGGUAGUGACGAAAAAUAACGAUACGGGACUCAUCCGAGGCCCCGUAAUCGGAAUGAGUACACUCUAAACCCUUUAACGAGGAUCAAUUGGAGGGCAAGUCUGGUGCCAGCAGCCGCGGUAAUUCCAGCUCCAAUAGCGUAUAUUAAAGUUGUUGCGGUUAAAAAGCUCGUAGUCGAAUUUGUGUCUCGCGCCGCCGGUUCAUCGUUCGCGGUGUUAACUGGCGAGUCGCGAGACGUCCUGCCGGUGGGCUUAGCUCGCGAGGGCGGCCCAACUCAAUCCUGCCGCGGUGCUCUUCAUUGAGUGUCGAGGUGGGCCGGCACGUUUACUUUGAACAAAUUAGAGUGCUUAAAGCAGGCUAAAACUUCGCCUGAAUACUGUGUGCAUGGAAUAAUGGAAUAGGACCUCGGUUCUAUUUUGUUGGUUUUCGGAACCCCGAGGUAAUGAUUAAUAGGAACGGAUGGGGGCAUUCGUAUUGCGACGUUAGAGGUGAAAUUCUUGGAUCGUCGC